UAACAACUUGUAACAAGCUUGAUGGCAUCAUCAGACUUGUUACAAGGUUGUUCCAACAAGUCUGAUACAGUCAUGAUAUAACAAGAAUGUUACAAGGUUGUUCCAACAAGUCUGAUACAGUCAUGAUAUAACAAGAAUGUUACAAGGUUGUUCCAACAAGUCUGAUACAGUCAUGAUAUAACAAGAAUGUUACAAGGUUGAC